rnacentral:rRNA from 1 species
GGAGUCUGGGCCGUAUCUCAGUCCCAAUGUGGCCGUUCAACCUCUCAGUCCGGCUACUGAUCGCAGUCUUGGUAGGCCGUUACCCUGCCAACUAACUAAUCAGAUAUGAGCCCAUCUUUCAGCGGAUUGCUCCUUUGGUAUCCCGGGGAUGCCCCCAAAAUACAUUAUGCGGUAUUAGCAGUCGUUUCCAACUGUUGUCCCCCUCUGAAAGGCAGGUUGCUCAUACAUUACUCACCCGUCCGCCACUAAGUCAAAUCCAGUUCUUGACGAAUCUCAAACCGGAAGUGCUUCGUUCGACUUGCAUGUGUUAGGCACGCCGCCAGCGUUCAUC